rnacentral:rRNA from 1 species
GGGCCCGCACAAGCGGUGGAGCAUGUGGUUUAAUUCGAUGAUACGCGAGGAACCUUACCAGGGUUUAAAUGCAGAACGACAGGGGUGGAAACACCCCUUCUUCGGACGGACUGCAAGGUGCUGCAUGGUUGUCGUCAGCUCGUGCUGUGAAGUGUCGGGUUAAGUCCCAUAACGAGCGCAACCCCCAUUUCUAGUUGCCAGCGGUUCGGCCGGGGACUCUAGAGAAACUGCCAGCGUAAGCUGUGAGGAAGGUGGGGAUGACGUCAAAUCAUCACGGCCCUUACGUCCUGGGCUACACACGUGCUACAAUGGUCGGUACAGAGGGAAGCUACCCCGUAAGGGGAUG